UACGGAGGGGGCUAGCGUUGCUCGGAAUUACUGGGCGUAAAGGGCGCGUAGGCGGAUAGUUUAGUCAGAGGUGAAAGCCCCGGGCUCAACCUUGGAAUUGCCUUUGAUACUGGCUAUCUUGAGUACGGAAGAGGUAUGUGGAACUCCGAGUGUAGAGGUGAAAUUCGUAGAUAUUCGGAAGAACACCAGUGGCGAAGGCGACAUACUGGUCCGUUACUGACGCUGAGGCUCGAAAGCGUGGGGAGCAAACAGG
rnacentral:rRNA from 1 species